AUUGAACGCUGGCGGCAUGCCUUACACAUGCAAGUCGAACGGUAACGCGGGGCAACCUGGCGACGAGUGGCGAACGGGUGAGUAAUGCAUCGGAACGUGCCCAGUAGUGGGGGAUAGCCCGGCGAAAGCCGGAUUAAUACCGCAUACGACCUACGGGUGAAAGCGGGGGACCGUAAGGCCUCGCGCCGUUGGAGCGGCCGAUGUCAGAUUAGGUAGUUGGUGGGGUAAAGGCCUACCAAGCCUUCGAUCUGUAGCUGGUCUGAGAGGACGACCAGCCACACUGGGACUGAGACACGGCCCAGACUCCUACGGGAGGCAGCAGUGGGGAAUUUUGGACAAUGGGCGCAAGCCUGAUCCAGCCAUGCCGCGUGC
rnacentral:rRNA from 1 species